rnacentral:rRNA from 1 species
CCUACGGGGUGCUGCAGUGGGGAAUAUUGGACAAUGGGCGUAAGCCUGAUCCAGCCAUGCCGCGUGUGUGAAGAAGGCCUUCGGGUUGUAAAGCACUUUCAGUGGGGAAGAAAGCCUUGGGGCUAAUACCCUCGAGGAAGGACAUCACCCACAGAAGAAGCACCGGCUAACUCCGUGCCAGCAGCCGCGGUAAUACGGAGGGUGCGAGCGUUAAUCGGAAUUACUGGGCGUAAAGCGCGCGUAGGCGGUCUGAUAAGCCGGUUGUGAAAGCCCCGGGCUCAACCUGGGAACGGCAUCCGGAACUGUCAGGCUAGAGUGCAGGAGAGGAAGGUAGAAUUCCCGGUGUAGCGGUGAAAUGCGUAGAGAUCGGGAGGAAUACCAGUGGCGAAGGCGGCCUUCUGGACUGACACUGACGCUGAGGUGCGAAAGCGUGGGUAGCAAACAGGAUUAGAUACCCCAGUAGUC